rnacentral:ncRNA from 1 species
UUAAACGCUGUGAUAAGAAAAGUAUAAUUGUAUUCACCAGUUAAGCGAGCGUCGUUUGGUGCAAGGACGUCAAGGUGCGACAAUUAGAAAAUCAUCUUUGAGCGAUGGAUGCGAAGUUUGAGCGUUCAUUGGGGGCUCCCAUUAUCGAGCUAGGGUAUUUCGUACCAAUUGGUGCUUGUACCCGAAGAGGCUGUUUUCGUGAGAAAAUGGCAAAUCAAGGUGGUAACGCGUUUAUUAACGUCCUUAUC